rnacentral:rRNA from 1 species
AUGCAGWCGAGMGGAUGAGKGGAGCUUGCUCCMKGAUUCAGCGGCGGACGGGUGAGUAAUGCCUAGGAAUCUGCCUGRUAGUGGGGGACAACGUUUCGAAAGGAACGCUAAUACCGCAUACGUCCUACGGGAGAAAGCAGGGGACCUUCGGGCCUUGCGCUAUCAGAUGAGCCUAGGUCGGAUUAGCUGGUUGGUGAGGUAAUGGCUCACCAAGGCGACGAUCCGUAACUGGUCUGAGAGGAUGAUCAGUCACACUGGAACUGAGACACGGUCCAGACUCCUACGGGAGGCAGCAGUGGGGAAUAUUGGACAAUGGGCGAAAGCCUGAUCCAGCCAUGCCGCGUGUGUGAAGAAGGUCUUCGGAUUGUAAAGCACUUUAAGUUGGGAGGAAGGGCAKUAASCUAAUACCUUGSUGUYUUGACGUUACCGACAGAAUAAGCACCGGCUAACUUCGUGCCAGCAGCGGCGGUAAUSA